rnacentral:rRNA from 1 species
UACAGAGGGUGCAAGCGUUAAUCGGAAUUACUGGGCGUAAAGAGCUCGUAGGCGGUCUGUCGCGUCGGCUGUGAAAUCCCGAGGCUCAACCUCGGGUCUGCAGUCGAUACGGGCAAACUAGAGUAUUGCAGGGGAGACUGGAAUUCCUGGUGUAGCGGUGAAAUGCGCAGAUAUCAGGAGGAACACCGGUGGCGAAGGCGGGUCUCUGGGCAAUAACUGACGCUGAGGAGCGAAAGCGUGGGGAGCGAACAGG